rnacentral:rRNA from 1 species
UACGGAGGAUCCAAGCGUUAUCCGGAUUCACUGGGUUUAAAGGGUGCGUAGGUGGGCAGUUAAGUCAGUGGUGAAAUCUCCGGGCUCAACCCGGAAACUGCCAUUGAUACUAUCUGUCUUGAAUAUCGUGGAGGUAAGCGGAAUAUGUCAUGUAGCGGUGAAAUGCUUAGAUAUGACAUAGAACACCAAUUGCGAAGGCAGCUUACUACCCGAAUAUUGACACUGAGGCACGAAAGCGUGGGGAUCAAACAGG